ensembl:misc_RNA Metazoa_SRP Metazoan signal recognition particle RNA
GCCAGGCAUGGUAGCGUGUGCCUGUAGUCCCAGCUUCUCAGGAGGCUGAGACAGGAGGAUCACUUGAGCCCGGGAGUUUGAGACUGCAGUGAGCUGUGAUCACCACUGCACUCUAGACUGGGCAACAGAGCGAGAUCCUGUCUCAA